AGCGAACGCUGGCGGCAGGCUUAACACAUGCAAGUCGAGCGGGCGUAGCAAUACGUCAGCGGCAGACGGGUGAGUAACGCGUGGGAACGUACCUUUUGGUUCGGAACAACCCGGGGAAACUUGGGCUAAUACCGGAUAAGCCCUUACGGGGAAAGAUUUAUCGCCAAAAGAUCGGCCCGCGUCUGAUUAGCUUGUUGGUGAGGUAACGGCUCACCAAGGCGACGAUCAGUAGCUGGUCUGAGAGGAUAAUCAGCCACAUUGGGACUGAGACACGGCCCAAACUCCUACGGGAGGCAGCAGUGGGGGAAUAUUGGACAAUGGGCGCAAGCCUGAUCCAGCCAUGCCGCGUGAGUGAUGAAGGCCCUAGGGUUGUAAAGCUCUUUUGUGCGGGAAGAUAAUGACUGUACCGCAAGAAUAAGCCCGCUAACUUCGUGCCAGCAGCCGCAGUAAC
rnacentral:rRNA from 1 species